rnacentral:rRNA from 1 species
UCGAGAAUCUUCGGCAAUGGGCGAAAGCCUGACCGAGCGACGCCGUGUGCGGGAUGAAGGCCUUCGGGUUGUAAACCGCUGUCGUAGAGGAGGAAAUUGACCGGGGUUCUCCCCGGUUAUUGACCUAUUCUAGGAGGAAGGACGGGCUAAGUUCGUGCCAGCAGCCGCGGUAAUACGAACCGUCCAAACGUUAUUCGGAAUCACUGGGCUUAAAGGGUACGUAGGCGGCGCUGUUAGUCGGGUGUGAAAUCCCUCGGCUCAACCGAGGAAUUGCGUCCGAUACUGCAGUGCUUGAGGGAGACAGAGGUAAGCGGAACUGAUGGUGGAGCGGUGAAAUGCGUUGAUAUCAUCAGGAACACCGGUGGCGAAAGCGGCUUACUGGGUCUCUUCUGACGCUGAGGUACGAAAGCUAGGGAGCGAAGGGGAUUAGAUACCCCGUAGUCCUAGCCGUAAACUCUGAGCACUUGAUCGUGGGCCCCCCAUACGGCUCUCGGUCGUAGCGAAAGUGUUAAGUGCUCCG